ensembl:rRNA 5S_rRNA 5S ribosomal RNA
GCCAGCAGCCAUAUCACUCUGCAACUCACAACUGGCAAUCCACUGAAGCUAAGCAGGUGUGAGCCUGGUCAGUACCUGGAUGGGAGACCUCCUGGGAAAAACUAAGGUUGCAGCUGGAA